UCAGAUUGAACGCUGGCGGUAUGCUUAACACAUGCAAGUCGAACGGUAACAUUGGAGCUUGCUCCAGAUGACGAGUGGCGGACGGGUGAGUAAUGCAUAGGAAUCUGCCUAUUAGUGGGGGACAACCUGUGGAAACGCAGGCUAAUACCGCAUACGCCCUACGGGGGAAAAGGGGGGAUCUUCGGACCUCUCGCUAAUAGAUGAGCCUAUGUCAGAUUAGCUAGUUGGUGAGGUAAGAGCUCACCAAGGCGACGAUCUGUAGCUGGUCUGAGAGGAUGAUCAGCCACACUGGGACUGAGACACGGCCCAGACUCCUACGGGAGGCAGCAGUGGGGAAUAUUGGACAAUGGGCGCAAGCCUGAUCCAGCAAUACCGCGUGUGUGAAGAAGGCCUGAGGGUUGUAAAACACUUUCAAUUGGGAGGAAUACCUGCUGAGAUAAUAUCAGGCAGAUUGACAUUACCUUUAGAAGAAGCACCGGCUAACUCCGUGCCAGCAGCCGC
rnacentral:rRNA from 1 species